UACGUAGGGGGCAAGCGUUGUCCGGAAUCAUUGGGCGUUAAAGAGCUCGUAGGCGGCCUGUCGCGUCGGCUGUGAAAGCCCGGGGCUCAACCCCGGGAGGCGGGCGGAUACUGUCGGGCUAGAGUCCGGAAGAGGCAAGUGGAAUUCCUGGUGUAGCGGUGAAAUGCGCAGAUAUCAGGAGGAACACCGAUGGCGAAGGCAGCUUGCUGGGACGGUACUGACGCUGAGACGCGAAAGCGUGGGGAGCAAACAGG
rnacentral:rRNA from 1 species